GUGUGCUCUUCUGAUCAGGAAGAUUCAGAGACUCUGAAUAAACAGAUGACACCACCUUGUGCAAUUGAAGCAGUAAUCAAAAAGCUCCCAACUAACAAAAUCCUGGACUGGAUGGCUUCACAGGGGAAUUUUACCAAACAUUCUGAAAAGAACUAUCACCU